GGGCUCGUAGCAUUCUCAUGUGGUUUUGAAUCAUAUGGGGCUAAAAGUCUGGUUGGUGCGUUCGACUGAUAAUCGAAAGGUCGGGAGUUCAAAUCUCCCCGGGCCCA
rnacentral:tRNA from 1 species